GGCUCAAAUUCCCUUAAAAGAUAAUAAUCCUGAAGCUGCAGCCAUGAUGUUAGAUCGGGUGCUGAGGCUUCUUGUCAGCUACAAUGCUCUUCAUUGCUCUUUUGUUGAUGGACAAAGGCUCUACUCUCUUGCUCCUGUUUCUAAAUACUUUGUUCGCAAUAAUCAAAACGGCGCGUCGUUGCGUCCCUACAUGGCCUUGUCUCUCGACAAGGUCCUCAUGGAUGGCUGGUAUACAGAAUUACUUUUUCUCUUUUCUUUUCUUUGCUAAUUUUGGUAAAUUAAGGAAAAUUAUCAAAACCUUCUAGUUGUCUAUAUAUAUAAAAAAAUUAAUCAUUUGCAUCUCAUGUUUUGAACCCAUCAAAAUCCGUCAGCUGCUAAAAAGACAGUUAUCUUCAAUUAUUUUACUUCUGUUGUGGUAAAAGACAAAAAAAGUUUAAAGUCCAAGCGUUUUUGAAAUAUGAAAGUAGAAAGGGUUGAUUGUAACAAACAAUUAAUAAAGUAUUCUUUAUCUUGGUUAAUUAUGCGGUCUAAUUUUACAAACUAAGCUUCUAAAAUUGUUACUAACUGUGUUUGGAUUUUGGAAAAUUCAGGUUUCGGUUGAAAGAGCAAAUUCUUGAAGGAGGAAUUGCGUUUAAUAAAGUGCACGGAAUGCAUAUCUACGAUUACAUGGGCGUUGACUCAAGAUUCAAUGAUGUUUUCAACAAUGGAAUGUUAAGCCACACUUCUGUUGUCAUGGAGAAGGUCCUAGAAUCAUACAAAGGCUUUGAGCAUGUUAAGAAGCUUGUCGAUGUUGGUGGCGGCUUAGGAGCUACUCUUAACAUUAUAAUUUCCAAAUACUCUCAUAUUAAGGGUAUUAAUUAUGAUUUACCUUAUGUUAUUAAAAAUGCCCCAUCUUACCCUGGUAUGUUACUUACAAAAUUUAUAUACUAUUUUUGUUAAUGAUUCAUUGAUGGGAUACACAAUAGCUAACAAAAAUUAUUAUUAUUAUUAUUAUUUUAAUUUCAGGCAUUGAACAUGUAGGUGGAGAUGUUAAAGUAUGAGCUUUAAACUGAAUUCCAGAAGAUCAACCGUCAUGUCAGUCUGUGGUAAUGUUGAUAUACGACAUGUCAGCUAUAAAGGAUACAAGCCUGUAUGACAAACUUUGGUCGUCAGCCAAAGCUUUAAGUGAAGCACGUAAAUGUCACGUGAUUCCACUUACUCUGAACGGCAUGAAAGAAUGUCGUUUUGGGGCUUGCUGUUUGUAAGGGUUUCAACACGUGUCCUGGAAGCUGUUAAAAUCAGUUAUUGCAGGCGGGAGAAUUCUGGGUUUGUAAGCUAACAAACCCAGAUUACAGCUGGUUGACAGGGGGUCUUUGUAACGGGCUCUAAGCUAGUAUAAAUAGUCUAAGGGACUGGGAAAUCAGAGAGGGUGUUGUUUGUAACUUCGUCUCUAAACUUGUAACUUGUUCUUGGUUAUUGAAUAAAAGCUGUUGCUCUGUUCUUCAGUGGAUGUAGGCUGCCUCCAGCCGAACCACUUAUAUUUGUUGUUCUUUGCAUAUUGUUUCUGGGUGAUUUAGAUGUGUGAAAUUGGUUUAACCUUUCUUGAAACAUUGAUUAGAGAGUUCAGCUAGAUCCUGGAGAUUCUUGAUUGGAUAAUAAUUCUGGUCUAGGUUCAACAAAUUGGUAUCAGAGCCUUAUCUCUGAUCUUUGAUCCAAGAAAUGGGAACCUCUAAAUUUGAGGUAGAAAAAUUCACUGGAGAAAACGACUUCCAUCUAUGGCGGCUCAAGAUGAGAGCUCUGUUGGUUCAUCAGGGGCUGGAGGAGACUUUGGGUGAUCCAAGAUCUGAAAAGAAACCCAGCAAGCUUUCUGAUGAUGAAAUGCGAGAUGCUUUGGAUAAAGCUCAUAGCACACUAAUCUUGAGUCUGGGAGAUGGAGUUCUCAGGGAAGUGGGAGAUCAAACAACUGCUGCAGGCCUCUGGAUAAAACUUGAAGACCUAUAUACCAAGAAGUCUCUAACCAAAAGACUUUGUACCAAAAAUAGGCUGUAUACUUUGCAAAUGGAGGAAGGAAGCUCUCUGGCAACUCACAUUGAUAGCUUUAACAGGAUCAUCCUGGAUCUUGAAGAUAUCAAUGUGAGUCUUGAGGAUGAAGACAAGGCAAUAAUCUUGUUAGCAUCUCUCCCACCAUCCUAUGAACACUUUGUAGAUACACUGCUCUAUGGAAGGCAGUCAAUAUCAAUGGCUGAUGUAAAGGACUCUCUUAGUUCUAAAGAAGUCACAAAGAAGACAGAAACAAGAGCUGGGGAAGGUCUGAUGGCAAGAGGAAGACCUGAGAAGAAAGAAUACAACAAAGGGAAGAAAAGGGACAAGUCAAAGUCCAAGAAUAAAAACCUGAAAUGCUUUCAUUGCCAUAAAGAAGGGCAUUUCAAAAGGGACUGUCCAGAUAGAAAGAACAAGGAUAAAGAAGGGCAUGGAAAGAAUGGUGAUGCUGCUGUUGCAUCCGAGGAUGAGGGCUAUGACUCAGCUGGUGUCCUUUUGGCCUCUGAAACUCAGACAAACAGUAAGUGGAUUCUUGACUCUGGAUGUUCAUAUCACAUGUGCCCUGAUCAAAAUCUUUUUACUACUUAUAAUGCUUUUAAUGGAGGUGAGGUUCUGAUGGGGAAUAACACAAUGUGUAAGGUUGUUGGGUUAGGAACCAUUAGAUUUAAGAUGUUUGAUGGGAUGAUUAGGGAGCUAAGAGAUGUAAGGCAUAUUCCUGAUCUAAAGAGGAAUUUAAUAUCUCUAGGCACUCUAGAUCAAGUUGGAUGCUCCAUUAAAGUUGAAUAUGGGGUAAUGAAGGUUGUUAGAGGGUCUAUAGUGGUUAUGAAAGGGAAUAAGCAAAAUGGCUUAUAUGUGCUUCAAGGCACAGCUGUAACUGGGGAUGUUAGUAUCUCAGCAAGUCUGGGUUUGGAUAAAACUCUCAUAUGGCAUCUAAGGUUAGGACAUAUGAGUGAGAAGGGGCUAAAAAUUUUAGAAAAACAGGGAGUCUUAGGGGAUGAUAAGUUGGGAUCUCUGGAGUUCUGUGAGGUAUGUGUCCUAGGCAAGUCCUCAAGAACUAGUUUCAAAACUGCAGUGCAUAACACAAAAGGGACCUUAGAUUACAUCCAUUCAUAUCUGUGGGGGCCAUCACAGACUGUCUCUUUAGGUGGAGCAAAAUACUUUCUCUCUUUUAUAGAUGAUUACUCGAGAAUGGUAUGGGUUUAUGUCUUGAAAGGCAAGGAUGAAGUCUUCGAGAGGUUUAAACAAUGGAAAGCAUUGGUAGAAACUCAGAGUGGUAGGAGGAUUAAGAGACUGAGGACUGAUAAUGGGCUUGAAUUCUGCAACAAACAGUUUGAUGAUUUCUGCAAACUCAAUGGCAUAGCAAGACACAAAACAGUGAGUUACACUCCACAGCAGAAUGGGCUAGCAGAAAGAAUGAAUAGGACUUUGAUGGAUAAAGUCAGAUGUUUACUGAUCCACUCAAAGCUUCCUCAAACACUGUGGGCUGAAACCUUGAUGACAGCAUGUUAUCUAGUGAAUAGAAGCCCAUCCAGUGCCUUAAACUUCAAGACACCAGUAGAGAUGUGGUCAGGAAGGGCAGCAAAUUAUUCAAAUCUAAAGAUCUUUGGUUGUCCAGCAUAUGCACAUGUCAAGCAAGGGAAGCUGGAGCCAAGAGCACUGAAAUGUGUAUUCCUGGGUUAUCCUGAAGGUGUCAAAGGUUAUAAACUAUGGUGCACUGAAAUGAGGCCACCAAAGUGCAUAGUCAGCCGAGAUGUAGUCUUCAAUGAGUCAGAGAUGUUAAUGAAAGGACAUCAAAAGGAUCCUGCUAAACUAGAAGGAGGACUUGACUCACAGGGACAACAUUUGAAGGUGGAGUUUAAAGGUAAAUCAGCUCUGGACUACCAUGAUGAAGCUGAAGACAUGGAGAGAGAAGAUGCUGAAGAUAUCAGUGAAGCUUCUGGAACUCAUACAGAUAUUCAAGACUAUCAGCUGGCAAGAGACAGACAAAUGAGAGUUAUUAAAACACCUAAGAGGUUUGCAUAUGCAGAUUUGAUUGCAUAUGCUCUAACAGCAGCCCAUGAAUUAGACAAUGAUGAGCCCAAAACCUACAGAGAAGCUGUUUCAGGAAAGGAUGCAGAUAAGUGGAUAAAAGCUAUGAAGGAUGAAAUGGAGUCAUUACACAAAAAUAACACCUGGAAGCUUGUAAAAGGGCCAGAAAAUAAAAAGGCAGUAGGCUGUAAAUGGGUUUACAAGAUCAAGCAGGGUAUACCAGGGGUUGAAUCCAUGAGAUAUAAAGCUAGGCUGGUUGCCAAAGGCUACACACAGAGGGAGGGGAUUGAUUUUACAGAAGUCUAAUCACCUGUAGUUAGGCAUACCUCAAUAAGACUGAUCCUAGCUCUGGUUGCAGUUCAUAACAUGCAUCUUGAACAGAUGGAUGUUAAGACUGCAUUUUUACAUGGUGAGCUUGAAGAACAAAUAGUAAUGUCUCAACCUGAAGGCUUUGAAGACCAGUCAAAUGGUGAUUGGGUAUGCCUUCUGAAGAAAUCACUUUAUGGCCUCAAGCAGUCUCCAAGACAGUGGUAUCUCAGGUUUGACAGCUUUAUGAUAAAACUUUGUUUUCAGAGGUGUAAUCUAGACUGCUGUGUUUACUACAAAGAGAUAUCAGGGGACAUGGUUUAUCUGAUUCUGUAUGUGGAUGACAUGCUUAUUGCCAGCAAAAGCAUAGGACACAUAAAUUUUCUGAAACAACAACUCAAAGGUGAAUUUGAGAUGAAGGAUCUGGGACCAGCUAAGAAGAUACUUGGAAUGCAGCUAAUUAGAGAUUGGAAAUCUGGCACCUUGUUUCUUACACAGGAAGAUUACAUCAGGAGAGUACUUGAUAAGUUUGACAUGACUACUGCCAAACCAGUGCAAACACCAUUACCAGCCCAUUUCAGAUUAUCAGAACAACAGUGCCCAAUAACUGAUGCUGACAAGUCUGAAAUGAUAAAAAUACCUUAUGCAAGUGCUGUAGGCUGCUUAAUGUAUGCUAUGGUACUCACCAGACCUGAUAUAGCACAUGCAGUCAGUGUGGUCAGCAGGUAUAUGUCUAAUCCUGGAAAAGAACAUUGGAAGGCUGUAAGGUGGAUACUCAGGUAUCUAAGGGGAACUUCUGGGCAUGGUCUGAUAUAUAGGGGACAGAGAAGAGAUGGCAGUUUAAUUGUGGGAUAUGUGGAUGCUGAUUAUGCAGGGGACUUGGAUAGAAGAAGGUCUUUAACUUGCUAUCUGUUCACAUUCAACAAUUGCACAAUAAACUGGAAAUCACAGCUACAGAGUGUAGUGGCUUUGUCCACAACUGAAGCAGAGUACACAACUGCUGCUGAAGCCAUAAAAGAGGCAAUAUGGCUGAAGGGUAUGUUGAAGGAGCUUGGAGUCAAUCAGAGGUCUGUGGUGAUACAUUGUGAUAGCCAAAGUGCUAUAUGCCUAAGCAAGAAUCAAACACACCAUGAAAGAACCAAACACAUUGACAUUAAGGUGCACUUCAUCAGGCUGGAAGUCUCAAAAGCAACUGUAAUGCUUCAGAAAAUCCAUACAGAUGACAAUGUUGCAGAUAUGUUGACUAAAGCUGUUCCAGGAGCUAAAUUCAAAUUCUGUUUGGAUUUGGCUGGCAUCUGUGAUAAUUGAAAUACAGAUGGUAGAAGAGAAGAGUAGCAGGUCAUGAGAGUUUCAAGCUCAAGGUGGAGAAUGUUAAAGUAUGAGCUUUAAGCUGAAUUCCAGAAGAUCAACCGUCAUGUCAGUCUGUGGUAAUGUUGAUAUACGAUAUGUCAGCUAUAAAGGAUACAAGCCUGUAUGACAAACUUUGGUCGUCAGCCAAAGCUUUAAGUGAAGCAUGUAAAUGUCACGUGAUUCCACUUACUCUGAACGGCAUGAAAGAAUGUCGUUUUGGGGCUUGCUGUUUGUAAGGGUUUCAACACGUGUCCUGGAAGCUGUUAAAAUCAGUUAUUGCAGGCGGGAGAAUUCUGGGUUUGUAAGCUAACAAACCCAGAUUACAGCUGGUUGACAGGGGGUCUUUGUAACGGGCUCUAAGCUAGUAUAAAUAGUCUAAGGGACUGGGAAAUCAGAGAGGGUGUUGCUUGUAACUUCGUCUCUAAACUUGUAACUUGUUCUUGGUUAUUGAAUAAAAGCUGUUGCUCUGUUCUUCAGUGGAUGUAGGCUGCCUCCAGCCGAACCACUUAUAUUUGUUGUUCUUUGCAUAUUGUUUCUGGGUGAUUUAGAUGUGUGAAAUUGGUUUAACCUUUCUUGAAACAUUGAUUAGAGAGUUCAGCUAGAUCCUGGAGAUUCUUGAUUGGAUAAUAAUUCUGGUCUAGGUUCAACAUGAGACUUGUUUGAAAGUGUUCUUGAGACAGAUACCAUUUUCAUGAAGGUUAUAUGUGUGUGUGUGUGUUAUUUGAAAUUAUCGUUAUAAGGAAAAAUUGAUUUAGGGUGAAUCACACUUUUCUCCCUAAUAUUUUGUAGAUUUACCUUAACCUGUUACUCACUUGAUAUUAGAAUUUUCCCAAAAACACUUAAAAGGAAUACCAAAAUAUUAUGAAAACUGUAAAAAAAAAAAAGGUUAAUUCACUGUAUACGUAUGUUUUGUUCUAUAACAUAAAUUGAUCAUAUAUAUUCAGAUUAAUAGAUCUAAUGAGAAUUAACAUGAAUAUUAAACUUUUGCAGUGGGUCCUUAAUGGUUUUGAUGAUGAGCAGUCCUUGAAAUUGUUGAAAAAUUGUUACAAAGCUCUUCCGGAUGGUGGGAAAUUGCUUAAUGUUAAUGCAGCAUUUCCAGAAGUGCCUGAGAAUAGCGCGACUUCAAGGGAGAUCUCCCUCUUGGAUACAAUUUGUUUAAUCCAAGUUCCUCAUGGAAGAGAGCGGACCAAACAAGAAUACAGUGAAUUAGCAAUCAAAGCUGGAUUUAAAGGCGUCAACUACGAAUAUUGUGCAUGCAAUUUAUAUGUUAUGGAAUUCCUCAAAUAAUAAAUUGCUUUAUUUGUAUUAGGAAAGGUCUUCUCAACUCUGUUUGGGGAGUCACCAAUUUCUGGUUUGUGUUACUUAAUUUUUCUUCUCGUUUGGCCUUAGCGCUUCUCUUAUGUACUCUUUUUCAUUCUAUGAACAUUUGUUUCUUUAAAGGAGAUUGACUGCUUUAACAUAGCUCUUAUGCACUCUUCUCCAUUUUAAUUUUUAUCGAGGAAAAAAAUAGUGUAUUCAUCUUACUUUGUUAUUUUUUUUCUUUUCCUGGUUAUUUCAAAGUUAUGUUGUGCAAAAAUCAGCAAUAUAUAAUUAAUAAUUUAAAGUAAUAAAGUUUGAUUUUUGAACGUAAUAAAAUACACAGUAAAUGAAUCAAAUGAAGUCUGAAAAUAUAUUGAAAAUGGAUUAUAGAGAUAUUAAUUUUUUAUUAAACAACUACUGAGAGCUAAUGAUGUAGAACGUUAUUUUAGGAAUUUUAAAAUUUUAAAAUUUUAUUAUUUUAGGAUUUUCUAUUUUAAUUAGAGUCAAUUAUGAUAUUCUAUUAUUUUAAAACUUUCUAUUUUCAUUAUAGUCAAUUAAAGUAUGAGAUUUAGUUAACUUAGGAAAGUAUCUUUUAUUUUCAUUUUAGAUUAUGAUUUAGUUUUUUAUUUUUAAAUUAGCUUAGGGAAAUUAUAUUUUAAUUCCAUUAUAAUUGUGAUUUAGUUUUCUUUUUGAGUUAAUUUACGGAAGUGAGUUUUCUUUUAAUAUAAAUAUUAAAUAGAGAGGUCUUGUCAUUUUUUUAGACUCAAUUAUUCUAUAAAUUUUAUUACAAAAUUUAUUUUUUCUAUCUUCUUUACAAUUCCACUUCGUAAGCUACUAUAGGUCAAAGGGGUUAAAAAAAUAGUAGAAGUCUUUCGAAACAAGUCACAUAUGACAGACACAUCAGAACUAGAAGUAAAUAAUAUAGUUUGCACAGGCAAAAGGAUUUCCAGCGUUUCGUCAAAGGCACAAUUGACCCAACGCCUGAUUGACCAAAACAAGUAGUUGAUUAUUGUAAUGGAUCCGCCACCAUACCAUAAAUUUUAUCUUUAUUCAACAAAGCCGUUGGAUGCAUUUUUGUUCAGUCUAACGACUGAAAUUAUUUAUUGGAGAAUUGAUGCAGCAACUUACAACCGUUGCAACGGUUUGUAUAUUAAUCUAAUUGCAUCAACGCGUUUUCCAAAAAUUUCUCAGCACUGCAUUAACAACACUAUUUCAUCUGAAAAUCGAUCUGGAGAUAGCAAUUAACAAACAAAAUUGGAACUGGAGGAUCAGAUUUUUUUGUUGUGAUUAAACAUUUGUGAUGAUUCGGUACAUGGAUAUGUUCUUUCACUUGCAGUCAAGCGAUGACGAAAUUAUAAUCAUCGCGGGGAAGUGCAACCAAAAGCUAGGGGUGAUGAAAGUUUAGGCAUAUAUCAAAUCAGAGUGAAUCUCGCGUCACUUUAAUCCGUUCUUGUGCCGAUUGAAUCACCCGAGGCAGUAAGUAAUUCCUUACUAAAACUAGUAAUUUUUUUUUUUUUAUUUGAAGAGAUUUAAAACUUGUAAUUACGAUUGGUUGAACACUUCACAAAUGAGUUAAUUGAACAAUUGGUAAUGGGGUGAUGUGAGGAAGUCUCCCGGGGCUAUGGCUGAGCUGAGGAAGCAAGUUGGAUGUAAAAUGAAAUUCUUUGUGCGAACACAAUGGAACCAAUAUCAGUUCAAUCUCUAUAUGAUAGAGUUCAAGUAUAGAUUUUACUAUUUGAGGUACGUUUUAAGUUCAUAAUCAAAAUUUACAUUUUUUGAAACAACCAUUUGUUGUAUGAUGGGUGAGGAACAAUAACAUUAUCAAUUCCCUCAGGCUAAAGGACACUACAGCCUUCUGUGUUAAGCCGUUUGCUUCAAUUUUCCAUUUCUAAUUACAGCUUCUUUAUCGUCAACACCAUCCUUAACCUUAAGUAAGCUUUUUUCUUUUAUUAUUAUUAUUGUUGUUGUUGUUGUUGCCUGAUUCAUUGAACUUUUCCAAUUUUGAAGUCGGUUAGUGAUGCUUUGAGCAAAUUUGGGAUCACAUUCGUUAAUUCGUUUGCUUUACAUGUUAAUAAAUAAUAGAGCAAUUUUAAAACUGCAUGUAACCUGUUUGAAAAAAUUUCUUCUAUAGAUAACUUUUUUUUCCUAGUCUAUUGGUUGUGAAUAAUGUUGUGAAGUUGAUAAAAGAUGGGAAUUCUUUAGUUUUGAUUUUACUCUUUGAGGAACUAUAGAACAUGACAAAUAGAGUUUGUUGUGUGAGGGGCACAUGUUCUCUCACAAGUGCUUGGUUCUUUAAUAUACAAAUAUAAGACACCUUAUGAUGAAAAAUGGAGUUGAUAAACUGACUCCAGACUAUCUGACCCAUUACAUUUUGGAUUUCGAUUCUUAGAUGAGAUUCCUCUUUCCAUUCUUUCAAUUUUCAAAUUUACUAGUGGCACUUUCAUUUGGUAAACUACACACACACACACACACACACAUACAGAUAUACACUAAUCAAUUAUAUUGACUUAUUUUCGUUUUCUUUUGAUUCAUGCUGCCGAUAUAUAUAAAAUUUUAUUUGUCAAAUUUAGAGGAGAAUUAGUUUUGCUACAUAUAGAUAAUGAACCCAAAUAUGUUUACAUGCAUGUCUGGGGUUUGUUUUAUCUUUGAGGAGCAGCAUUACCCAUCAAAAGUUUGAAGAGCUCUGUGAACUUAAGCAUUCGGGGUUGAAAAUGGAUAAGAUAUAUGCAGUGGAGUUAAUUAGAAGAGCUACUAGAGUGCCAAAGUUGCAGGUUUUCUCUAUCCUCUUUGUUUUGGUAGUUACCUGAGUAUUAAAUUCUUGAGGCCGGUAAGAUGGUAGACUUUAGCUCAAUUUAAGAGUAGAAAAUAAUAUAUGUUUACUUGUGUUAGUCUUAAUUUUUAAUCACUUAGCCUCAAAUAAGAAAUUUUUUAUGUUUGCUCUGCAAUGAUGUUAUUUAGUGUUAAUAGCUUUAUUUUGUUACUAUUUGUCUACACAGAUUCUUGUUCUCAAAAGACCUUUUACUUUAAAUAUUUGGCAUAAGGACAAUCUCAUUUAAUACCAUCAAUAAUUUUCAUUUUUUCUCAUUAGUUUUAAUAUGUUUGAUAACUGUAUGGUUAAGCAAUCUAUGCAAUGUUAUCUUGUCAUUAGUUUGAGCUCAUUUUUUAUUACAAUUAUGAAUAUUUGUUAUGAAUGAUAUCAUACUGGAAAAUAUUGUUAACUUGUUAAUUUCGUAAAUGUGAUAUCUUGUCAAAGUGACUAAUAGCAUUUCAUCAUGCUAUGAGUUAAACAUGGAACAAAUGAUGACAUACAGUUGUGGAAUGUGGCAGAUCUCCAGGACUCUUAUGUGCUCAUGCUUGCAGACGUAUAUUUUUGCUGCAUACUUUUAGGUUCGAUGGCUUUCAUUUCUAAUUGAAGUGUAUUUGAUUGCGGUGCAACGUGGGGUGACUUAUGUUGUCUUAUACAAUGAAAUGAGUGAUUACAUAAUUUAGGAAAAGCUCGAGUGUGGGUGAACGAUAUAGAGUGCUAUAUGAGUUAUGCUAACUGUUGUGACCUUGAUUUUGUAUUAUUGUUUGCAUUGAUUUUGGUUGAUAAACAAAUGUGUGGUGGAUCAUGGAUGGAUGUAUGGAUGAGGAUAAUAAAUAAAUGAAAAUAUACAUCAGACACAAGCAGAUAAAUUAAGGGUAAUGGAACUUGAUUGAGGUUAGUACUUCUUCUACUACAAAGCAAAUCAUCACCCACAGAAAUUCGUACAAGCAUGUUUCUGUUGGCAAGUUUAGCAGAUGGAGACAACAUAGGAGCUAUACGCACCAUUAUCUAAAAGAAGCAAAGUAAUGUUGUGUUUAUCAAAGUUUUCAAAUUAAUGAUGUGCUCGUCAAGAUUUUACACGUAACAAAUUAGACUGAAAUUUAACCGUCAUUUACAAAGAAGUUUGAUUUAUUCACUAACCGCAAACAAGUACAUGCUGCUUUGUUUGCUGUUUGUAGAAAAUUGAGUCACGUCGACUAAGUUCUAACAAUAAACAUUAGUAAAGCUUUUUAUAUAUCCUUAUUGGCACCUCUUUCAAGAAAAAAGAUAAUGUAGUCCAUAAUGUAUGCAUUAAGUUGUGUUUAUUUGCUAGAGUAAAAGUGAGGAGAGUAGAUUCAUUCUAAUUUAACAUUUAUUUGCCCAUUUAAAGAGGAGAGUAAGUGUCUCACUCUGUGUGUCUCUCUCAUUUUUUUGAAUGAAGAGUGAGAUUCCCAUUGUUAGGAGAUGAGAAUGAGAAUCUACUUUUACUUUUUUUUUUUUACUCUUCCCUUAUUAAGUAUAAUAUAAUUAUACUUAUUAAAAUAAAAUAAUAUUAUAUUUAUUUAAAAAUAAUAAUAUUAAUAAACUUAUUUAAAUAUAAUAUUAGUAUAUUCAUUGAGAAUUAAUAAUAUUACUAUAUACUAUCUUUAUUUGAAAAUAAAUAUUAUUAUAUUUAUUAAAAAAAUAAUAGUACUAUAUUUAUUUAUAUUUAAUAUUUAAUAAUAAUAAAUAGUUGAUUCUAAAAAAUAUUAAUAUUUUACUAUAUUAUUAAUAAUAAUGUUUCAUUUGUGUUGCUCUUGUCAAUAGUUUUUAAUUUACUUAUUUAAAAUUAUAAUAAAAUUAAUAAAAAAGUUAUGAUUUACAUAAUUAAAAAUAUUAAUAACUAUUAUUAAUGAAAUAAAUAGUUAUUUUAAAAAUAUUUUUUUAUUCAUUUUGCAAUUAAAACUACAACUCUAUAAAUGAGGGUAAAAUUAUCAUGUAAAUUAAUUCACUCUUAAUUCAAGACAAAGUAAACACAUAAAUGAAAUUUUGAUUAUAAAUUGGAUUCUAAUUCUUAUUUCACACCCGCAAUAUAGGUAAAUAACCUAUUUUUACUCCUACUUCACAUCUCCAUUCUAGGAUUUCAACUCCCUAAGAUUCACACUUCAAUUUGGGAAGUAGACGCUGCUUAAAUGUCAAUGUCAUAAGUCUAUCGAACUGAUAUAUAAAUUCCUCAUCAAAUAACUUCAACGAUUCUUUACAAAUCAUUUUAGGAAAUUACUACUGAUCACUAGCUUUUGAUUCCAUCUCCUUCUAAAUUGCUAAGACAAAUUUGUUUCCACCUUUAAAUAGUUAGUAACCACUGUGCAUAUUUAUCUAACCUUAAGGUUGCUACUGCAUCCAACCAGAUAUUGUUACCCACCACCAUAGUUUUCUUACACCCACAUUUACCUUUUAACAACCUACUUGACCGGUAUGCAUAUAUCUAACGUGGCCAUCUUGAAAGACGUUGGAUCGCUUUGGAUUUUAAAGCAACAGUUAGUUGGAAUAACGAAAGAAUUUGAGGUACCUUACCAUAGUUGCAACAUAGGCGAGUCCGAUUGUAAUUAUUGUGAAUAUAGUCCUUUCUUUUACAACGCGUUAAAUAUGUUUAUAUAUUUUGUAAAAAGUCAAGCAAUGAGAUGAAGGGAACGAUUAUUGUUUUCACCAUAUCAGGUAUCUCAAAUAUUUUUCAUGUUCUGUGUGCCUUCUAGAGGUGCACGGUGAUGGGUGAAAAGAGGAAAAUGAAAAAACAUAAAAACAAAAUUAUAAGUUCCUUUAAUGAGGGGUCGUUUUGGUUCGAUAUGUGUUGGAAAUUUUUUUUGGGUGCCAACUGUCGCUAUCUCCGACUUCAAAAAUUGUCUUGUAAUAUUAAUAUAGGCCCCAAGCCCCCAACCACUUUGCCUCUGUGAUUAAGAACCUCAUUCUUUGCCUUUUAGCUAACCCACCGCUGCUGUAAAAGUCAAUGAUUUUGUUUAUUUUUUUGUGUCAACUGAAUUGAAAGCUUUGUCCACUUUUAGCAAAGUCCCAUAAUGGGUUCAACUACGUUACGGCAGUGGCACGUAUCAUUUCUUUUUGUCUUCUGUGACAAGUUUUCAUAUAACCUCUUCUACUCAUUUUUAUUUAAUAUUUAUUCUAUAAGUAUUAAGUUAAUUUCUAUCUACACUUACAGCUACAUUUCGGUCAGCUCUUUAUACUAUUUUAUAUUUAUAGAUUUUUUGUUCAAUGUUGCACAUGUAUCACAAUGCCCCCUCUUUAUUAUUUUGAAGUUAAAUCAUUGACAUGUUUAAUUUAAAACCUUACACUCCUUUUUAAUUAUAAUUUUUUUUAAUUAUUAGGGUAGUUUUUUACAUUUGCUAUCACUUAUAUACUCUUUUUAUUUUGAAUUUUUUUUAUAGAUAUUAUGAUACUUUUUUCUUGUAUUCAUAACAAAUUAUAUAAUCCCAAUAGUUCUAUUACAAAAGUAUUAUAUUUUUUCACACUCUUAUUUUUAUUAUGUUAUUUAAUUCAAUUAUUUUUAUAUUAUGGGUGCAUUUAUAAUUGUUUUUUGCUAUAUUCGACCUCUAGACUCGUGAUUUUGUUAGUAAUCACCUGCUGUUUACUGUUAUAUUUUCAAUUAGACCAAUAAUAUUUUCUAGGUUUUGUAUGGUUUAUUAUGUAGUUUUUCAUAUAAUCAUAUACUUGUUUUACCUUGGUCUGGAUUUGGAGAUUUUGCAAUAUUUAUGGACACAUGGCGCAUUGUAAGUGGCUAUAGAUUUUAGAACUUACAAGAUAUAUUAACUAAUAUUAUUUAAAUUUAUUAAUAAAAGAAACUUAAGUAAUUAGUAGAUAUAAUUAUUAUUAUUAGAAAAUUUUAAUUUAUUAUAAUUUAAUUUGAUCAUCAACUACUAACCGUAUUAUGCAAACAAUGGGGCAAAUCUUAGUGUUAGCAUUAUUAUAAUUAUUACUGUUAACUACAAUUUUAUGUGAACUUGAGUAGCUAGAAAAUAUAAAUAAGAAUUAGUUUGUAUUUCUCCUUUCUUUUGAUUGGUGAUUUAUUUCUACUUUCUCACUAGUAAUAUGCCAGAUAGAAGAAUAAUUAAGAAUUGCAGAUUCACAAGGGUUGGAAUUAGCAUUGAUUUUGUAAUGAAUUUUUAUGAUUAAUUUGAUUGUCUAUAUAUAAAGCAUAGACAUGCGGUUGCAUAGUUAUAGUGGUUUAUUUAAGCAAGGAAAAAUUAAUAGGCCAGUGGAUUUGGUAUUAAUUGGUUGAAGUAUGUAUGUAUACAUAUCCCAUCUUUUCAAUGUCACCACUACCUGUUUUUUCUCCUUUAAUUUGACAUUAUAUUAUUAAUUUUUUUUUUAACUAUCUAUGAAGGAUAAGAAAUUUUACUAAAUUAUAGUUCAAUAUAGCCUAAUGAGAAAAAAAAUAAGGCAAUACAACCUAAUACAACAAAUAAUGACGAACUAAAUGCACCCAUAAGAUAAGAAUACUUAAAUUAAAUAAAAUGAUAAAAACAACAGUACAAAAGAAAUUACAAUAUUUUUUGUAAUAGAACUAUUAGGAUUACAUAAUUUGCUAUGCAUGUAAGUAAAAAGUACUAUAAUAUUUAUUAAAAAAAAAUUGUAAUAUAAAGAGUGUAAAGUAUUAAAUGAAAUUUGAGAGUAGAUUUAAAAAAAUCCUAAUACUUAAAAAAAAUGUUUAAGGUUCUAAAGUAAACAUGUCAAUUAUNNNNNNNNNNNNNNNNNNNNNNNNNNNNNNNNNNNNNNNNNNNNNNNNNNNNNNNNNNNNNNNNNNNNNNNNNNNNNNNNNNNNNNNNNNNNNNNNNNNNAAGUGGUACUACUAAUGCAACAUAUUUGAACCCUAAUUUUAAAAAAAAGUAUUAAAAAUUGUGACUAAUUUUAGUUUACACCAGCUGGAAUUUGUAGAAGCAAAUGCCAAUCAUGCCUGGUGUGCAAUUAAUAAUGUGGGCGAAGACAAUUUGGGAGCUUGGAACUCUCCAAACUCCAAUGAGAUAAUAAAAUACGUUAGUUAAUAAAACUAACUAGCAAGUAGCAAGCACACAUUAUCAUUUUAUUUUGUAUAUGAAAAUUUGACACUCUUUAACAUUGUGUUUUUUCGUUUAUGUUUAUUAUGAGCUCGACUUUUUGUUCAUGAAAAUUUGACAUUCUUUAACUUUGGCGGGUUGGUAAGUGUAUAACGAGCUACACUUAUUUAUUUAUUUGGAAAAAAGACACAUAUUUACAUUUGAGAAAAUAAUCAUAAAGACAUCUAAAUUUUUAAAAAGGGACUCCAAAUCUCCUUUUUAAUUAUAAUAUCCUUUGGUUUAUAAUUGAAAAGUUGACUUUAAAAUUUUUUAAUUAAUACAAAUUUAAUAUAUGUAAUAUAAUCUAUCUAGUAGACUAAUAAUAUUAAAUUAUUUUUAACAUUUAAUAUAAUAUUAAAAAUUUAAAUUAUUACAUUUAUUUUAAUAAUACAUUUUUAUUUAUUAUAAAGAUUUAAAAAAUCUCUGUAUUAAAUAUAUUUUGCAAUUAACAGAAUAUAUCCAUGUUAAUAAUAAUAAUAUUAUUAUUUUUUCAUAAUAUUCGAAAUAAUUUUAAUCUUUUAUUCUAAUAUUAUGUUUCUAUCUAUUAUUAAAAAUUACUUUAAUUAUAAUAUAAUUGGUCUAAUAUAUUGUAAAAUAUUAAAAUUAUUUUAAAAUGUCGAUAUUAUUACAUUUAUUUUAAUGCCACAUUUCUAUUUAUUAUAAAAUUUUAAGGUCAAUUAUUUUGGGUUUAUAAAGUCAAAGGGUAUUAUUAUAAAAAAAAAGCCUUGAUGUCCCUUAUUAAAAACUUGAGGUUCUUGUAAUCAUUUUCCAAAACUAUGGAGGUGUAUGUGUCCUUUGUUGUAUUUAUUUUUAUGAAAAUUAAAGUUUUUUUUUAAAAAAAAGAAUCCAAUGAAUUCAAUCUUCAAAGAGUGUGAGAAUCAAAAGCUUAUUCUACGGUUAUUGCUAAAUAUGAUAGAAGAUAAUUGACGUAGUUGUUAUCUAGUACUAUGUCAAUCCCAGAUUGAAUUUGGUUUAAUAUUCUCCAAGAGUGAUAGUGUAUGCAAAUGUUUCAUUUUAAAUUUUCUUUAUUUAAUCUAAUGGCAAAUAAAAUUUUCUCCCAUCCGUAUUAACAGAUUCGAACAAAUAUUUUGUUUUUAGUUCAAGAAAUUUUACCAAUUAUAUAUGUUAGUAAUUAAUAUAAGAAGAAUUACUAAUUUACAAGUUGUGUUAAGUUUUUGGACUGAGAAAACUAAGGUAGUAUUUGUUCUUUUAUCUAAAAUCUGGAUGGAUUUGAAUAUAAUUGAAGUCUGAAUGGAUCUGAAUUCAUGUGUAAGAAUAAUAUGCUUGUUUUUUUUAUUUUUUGACAUCAAAUGUAGCAGUAAGUUAUUUAUUUUUAUAAACUCAAAAUAUCUUAAAUAUAAUAUUUUUAUACUUAUGAUCUUGAAAGUGUUAUGUAUACUUGAAAUUUUUAAUAGGUAUAUAUAUACAGUGUUUUCUUAACUAAAUAAGUUCAUGCAAUUGAUUGUUGUUAUUAUCGAAUAAUCAUUUUUAGGUUGCCUUUAUUAGUUUAACACAAUGCUACUUUGUCAAAAAAAAAAAGUUACCAUUAUUAUUAAUAGGUCGGCGGCGAUCAUUUUUUUGUUUUUUAGCUCACUGAUAAUUGACAUGGAAUAAGAUGUUUUAGAUAUAUACGAUAUAUUUUACAUAAUCACACGUACUCGUACCUUUUAAAAUACUUAUCAUAAUGUCAAAUAUUUUUAUAUUAUUAUGAAUUGUUGAAAAAUUAUUUUAGAACAAUAUAAAAAUAUCUGUAUACAUGGUAGUCAAACAACAAUUUGAGCAUUGCUAUUAUUUUCCGAAAAUAUAGCUAAGUUUUCUGAAUGAAUAGUGUCCCUUGGAUUCGGUUGGAUUUGAUGCCGUACGACAGAAUUGCUGUGGCCGGAGGGUAAUGUAGUCGCACUGGGCAAACAAUAAUUGACAUUUCACAUUCGGCUAUUUAUGAUGUAGGCCCAACUAUAUGUGUCCAACUUUGGAGGCUGGUAGGUAUAUGAUAUAUCCAAUUAAUAAGCUCCGCUUAUUUAUUUAUUUUUAUAAAAAUUCAAAUUUUUUUCCCCUAAAAAUAUCCGAUGGAUUCAUUCUUCGAGGAGUGUGCUAAAUAUACAAGGGAGCUUGCUAACUUACAGAUUCUGUAAGUUACAGCUCACUCACAAAUUUGAUUGUGGUUCCCACUCGGGCCCACAGCCAAUACUAUUUAACACUAUUCAUGUGAGGGUUGUUACUUACAGAAUCUGUAAGUUAGCCCUUUCCAUAUACAAGAUGAUAGUUGGUAGUUAUUGUCUAGUAAUAGAUCCCAGAUUGAAUUUGAUUUAAAAUCCAGGAGCAUCGCUCCCGCAAAUGUUUCAUUUUAAAUUUUCUUUGUUUAAUCCAAUGGCAAAUAAAUUUUUCUCCCAUCCGUAUUAACGGUUCGAACAAAUAAUUUUAUUUUCAGUUCAAGAAAUUUUAUCAAUUAUGUUAAUAAUUAGUACUCACAUAAUUAUUGUUGGGAAGUUUAUGGAUAAAACAAAUAUGUAACUAAAGUGAAAUUGAGAAAUAAUGAAACACAAAAUCACACAGGUACAUCAUAAAUGACGUGAUUCUGCUUUUAGUCUACGUUCACGGGCGAAAAUAGAUGAAAAAUAUUUUACUAAUGAAAAUGAGUUAUAAAUAUUGUAAUAUUUUAGCUCAUUUCCCAAAACUUCAAUACGCCCAAACUCUCAAAUAAUUAAACUCUUCUCAAAAUGAAUUUGAAGAGGAAGAGAAAAACUUGAUGCUGAGGACAGAAAUAAAGCCCUCUAUUUAUAGCUUCAUUUUGUGCCCUUUUUCAAUUAAAAUAAUUAUUAUAUUAUUAUAUUAUUUUUUUCUUCGCCCUGAACACUGCGGCACCUCUUUUUCUUCCUUUCUUUUUUUUUUUCUUUUGUUCCAGUCAAAGAAGAAAGCCACUCCUUCUUCAAAAUGGGCGGGCUCGACUUCUAGAAGGGUGGUGCCCGCAUGCCAUUUUUGUCAUUCUCCCACUUGGAGAUUUGAUUGCGAGACAAUCAUAUCUCCACACUAUCAUUUUUGUUUCGCCAUUGUCAUUGCUUACGUCUCUGCUAGGCCACAAGAUGACCUACUCUAGAUAAACUUGUUUGUAUUGAUCGACUUGAUCAAAACAUCUGUCAGGUUCUCCUUAGUAUGGAUUUUCUGCAAAUCCACACUUUCAUCUUCCACUAUUUCACGAAAGAAAUGAUAUUGUACCCCUAUGUGCUUUGUCUUGGAAUGAAAGAUUGGAUUCCUUGCAAUAUGCAAGGCACUUUGACUGUCACAAAACACAGAAAUUUUCUGUUGUUUGUGCCCGAGCUCCUUCAAUAAAUUUUGUAUCCAAAUAGCUUCCUUACAAGCUUGUGUAGCUGCCAUGUACUCUGCUUCUGUUGUAGAUAGAGCCACAACGGUCUGCAGUUUCAAAACCUAGCUUACAACUCCUUCUGCAAGUGUAAACAUAUAGCCAGUAGUUGAUUUUCUUUUAUCAAGAUCUUCUGCAAAAUCUUAAUCUACAUAGCCCCUAAUAGUAAACUCUGAUCUUCCAUAACAUAAUACAACAUCUGAGGUUCCUCUAAUAUAUCUUAAAAUCCUCUUCACAACUAUCUAAUGCUCUUUACCAGGAUUCGCCAUGUAUCGACUGAUUGCUCCCACUGCUUGUGCAAUGUCUGGUCUAGUAUAUAUUAUAGCGAACAUCAAACUUCCCACUGCUGAUGCAUAUGGUACUCGAAACACUUCCUUCCUCUCUGUUUCGUUGCUAGGACACAUACUUGAGGAAAAUUUGAAAUUAAUAGGAAGUGGGGUAGAAAUUGACUCACAAUCUUGCAUGUUGAAGCGUCGUAAGAUUUUCUUCAAGUAAUUCUUUUGAGAAAGCCAAAUCUUCUUGUUAUUUCUGUCUUGGUGAAUUUGCAUCCCUAGAAUCUUAUUUUUUGGUCCCAAGUCCUUCAUUUCAAACUCCCUAGCCAAUUGUGCCUUCAAUUCUUGGAUUCGAUCUUUGUUGGGGCCUGCAACCAGCAUGCCAUCCACGUACAACAACAAAAUAAUGAAAUCAUUAUUUUCAAAUCACCUGUAACAUGUACAAUGGCCUGAACUGAGUCUGUUGUAUCCAAGGCUCAUGAUGAAGGAAUCAAAUCUCUUAUACCAACAGCUCGGUGCCUGUUUGAGACCGUAUAGAGAUUUGUUCAACCUGCAAACCAAGUUCUCUUUUCGUUUUUCAGCAAAACCUUCUGGUUGGAGCAUAUAAAUUUCUUCUUCAAGUUUUCCAUGAAGAAACACAGUUUUCACAUUGAACUACUCUAGAUGUAGGUCAAAUGUAGCACACAUCGCCAAGACUACUAUGAUUGUUGUAAGUUGAACCACCGAGAAAAAUAUCUCGUUGAAGUCAAUACAUUCUCUCUAAGCAUAUCCUUUCACUACUAAUCUUGCACGAUAUCGCUCCACUUAGUCAUUGCCAUCACACUUGAUCUUGUAGACCCAUUUGUUUCUAAUGACUUUUCUUCCACGUGGUUGUGGUACAAGUUCCCAUGUCUUAUUCUUGUGUAGAGCUUCAAUUUCUUCAUGCAUUGCUGCCAUCCACAAAGUAACAUCUGAGCUGUUUAAAGUUUCAUGGAAAGUUGAUGGCUCUCCAUCCACUAUUAAAAGACAAUAUGCAACAUUGAUCUAUGUGACAUAACCUGAGUGCCACACUGGCGGUCGUCUCUCACAAGUUAAUCGACAAACUUCUAGAGCCUCGGACUCGAUUGGUUCUUGUUCCUCAUGCUCUGGUGCUGCUUCAGAAGAAUCUGAAUCUUCUGGAUUAUUUUCCACAUAUAUCGGCACAGUCUCUGACUUUUCUUUUACAGUGUUAUCAUCCAUAUCUCUCAUUUGCAGUUAAUCUUUUUCAAAAAUAACAUCUCUACUGAUGACGAUCUUGUGAGCAGUGGAGUCCCACAGACGAUAACCCUUUACUCCAUCAGCAUAUCCCAAGAAUAUGCAUCUUCUAGAUUUUGGAUCCAGCUUUACUCUUUCUUGUGCAUUGUACAUCACGUACAGGACAUCCGAAUGCAUGUAGGUGCGAGUAAUCUGCUGGCUUUCCAGUCCACAUCUCCAUCAGAAUCUUCAACCCAAUUAUCGUGGAUAGCGACCGAUUUACUACAUAAUAGGCAGUUUUGGUUGCUUUUGCCCAGAAUGAAUUAGGUAGACCCACAGUUCUCAACAUAGAUCUUAUUUUUUUUUGUAAGAUUUCUGUUCAUCUGCUUCGUCACUCCAUUUUGUUGAUGAAUGUAUGCCACCGUGAACUACCUCUGAAUACUUUCUUACUUAUAGAAAGUAAGAAACUCACCGUCUGUAUAUUCUCCACCAUUAUCUGUCCUCAAGCACUUUAUCAUCUUCCAAGAUUCAAGUUCUACAUAUGCUUUGUACUGUUUGAACACUGGAAACACAUAUGAUUUUUUUCUUAAUUGGAUACGCCCAACAUCUCCUGGAAUUAUCAUCAAUAAAAAUCACCAAGUACUUUGGACCUCCCAUGGACAUAUCUAGUGAUUCCCAAACAUCAGAAUGAACAAAGUCUAGAAUGCAUUUACUUCUGGCUUCAGAUCUUAUGAAUUUCAAUCUAUACUACUUACUUGUAACACAUUGCUCGGGAAACGGUAAGUUCACCGACUUGAGCUCCGAAAGAAAUUUUUACUCAGAGAGAAUCUUCUAACCUUACUUUGACAUAUGGCCGAGUUUGAGAUGCCACAUCAUCGUUGAUUCUUCUCCAUUCGACGCGACACACGCAUAAGCUUCCUGUGGUGUUUUUUUUUAAAGCAUGAAUAGAUUAGCAACGAUCUUUUCCGCCCUCAUCAAUACAAGCGCGCCUCUUGUAAUCUUCAUGAUCCUAUUUUCAAUAUGGGUUUUGCACCUAUGACUAUCUAUUUGUCCCAAAGACAAUAGAUUAUUCUUCAGGCCUUUGACAUGUCGUACCUCCCCAAUUGUGCUAAUUGUGCCAUCAAACAUUUUUAUUUUAAUAGUACCAAUACCAGUGAUCUCCAAGGCAUGAUCAUCUCCCAUAUAUACAGAUCCUCUUGAGAUAUGUUCAUAUGUGUGGAACCAUUCUCUCCGAGAGGUCAUGUGCCAGGUAGCUCCUGAGUCUAUGACCCAAAUAUCAGAUAACUGUUUUCUACCUUUUGAAACAGUUGUUGCCUCGCCGUAGAGAACUUCGUCAUCAUCCGAGGUACUUGCUACACACCCCUAAGCAUUAGGUUCUUUACCCUUUCUUCUCUUCUGGUUGUUCCAACAUUCCUCUUGACAUGCCAUUUCUUGCCACAAUUAUAGCAUUUAAUAUUCUUCUUACUUCUAGAUUUGGAUUUACCAUGAUUGUGACUCCUACUGGGGCCAUGUGCCGUUGAUCUCCCUCUCGUCACCGAUAGCGCUUCUGCUUAUUGCGAACUUACUUGUUUAUCUUCCUUACUUUUCUACCUGCUCUCCUUAUUUAAUACGGAGGCUGCAACAUCGUCGAAAACUAAACUGUUUGCUGGAUUAUUAUUUGUCAGGUUAAUGAUGAGUUGAUCAUAUGAAUCUGGUAGACUUUGAAGUAAAAGCUCUAAACGUUCAUUUUCCUCUAUUUUAUGACCCAACGUUGUGAGUUGGGAAAAUAGAGUCUUCAAAGUAUUGAUAUGGUCGGCCACCAAUGUAGAUUCCGCCAUUCGAAAAAAUAUAGAGUCUCAUUUUUUAAGAAAAUCUUAUUGUGCGGUGAUAACUCUAUGAAAUGAGAGUUAUUACAUCAAUUCUAAACUUGAAUCAAGAUCACUUAGAGAGCAAAUAAGGCGUUUUUAUUACAUUUUGGUUAUAUUUUGCAUAAACAUUCAUUUUAGUUGAGUCUUAAUAAGUUUUGCUUGAAUCAAAGUAAUUUGUGCUCAAAACAGGUGUAUAAUUAUAGAUUUUUAGAAAUCCUUAAUUCAUAAAUGAAUGCUGAGACAUUAGACUAGCAAGAGGAGGAAAGAAGAUGGCCACAAAAGAAGUAAAGAACAAUCGAGAACAAUGCAGUGUUGUAGCUGUUGUUAGAGCAACUAGUGCUGUGGUAAUCUGGGAGCAUUGAGGGAGAAAACUUAAGCGCGGGUAAGCUGCAGAAUUGCGAUCUGCAUGUUUUCUAAUUUAACUCAUGCAUGCUAGGGGUGGGUAAAAUAACCGAUCCGACCCGAUCCGAUCCGAAAUAAAUCGGGUUCAGAUCGGAUCGGAUUGACCAUAAUACCCGAUCGGAUGAAAUGUUGCCAACCUGAUCGGAUCAUAAUCGGAUCGGGUGAAAUCCGAUCCGAUCCAACAACCCGAACGGGUUGGCUUAAAGAAGAAAGUAAACAACCCUCACUGAUUACAACACACAUGCAUCCAGCAACAAGUAGUCAAGCACCAGUGAUGCCACAGAGCACAGGGCAACAGACCACACGCUACACAGCCUCACACACCACACACGUAUACGGCACACAUCACAGAUAUGGAGGCACAAAACCAGUAAAGAUAGAGGCACAAAAACAGUAGACCACACAUUCAACGCACCCAGCCGCACCCAGCAGCCUCACUCCCCUCCCUCACGCCUCACGGCCUCCCCCUCAAGCCUCAACGAGAGACCACACAGCACACACCAACCUUUGCUCCCCUCCCUCACGCCUCAUGGGUCAUUGCCCCACCCUCAAGUCAACACUCAACACCGCCAACGCCAAGUAGAAACACACACACACACACACACACAGCUGCAACCAACACAUGCUUGUCACAAUCACCGCUGACGCCAACCACCAGUCGAUCUACUGCUCAGCGAGGACCGCGACCAGAUAUGCUGCUCCGCGAGGACCGCGACCAGAUAUGCUGCUCCGCGAGGACCGCGACCAGAUCUGCUGUUACCGCCUACCGAUCUGCUGUCUCCGCGCCUCCACACACUUCAUUACCAAGUUUCUUCUCCAAGUUCCAUUCGUAAUCCAGCAAGCGGCAGCCUGAAUUUUUAUUUUGAGUUUGGAUUUUUGAGUUUAGUUCAAAUACGGACAGUUGUAAUGUGUAAUAUAUUAUAUAACAUAUGUUAAAUCAUUGAUUAGGAAUUGUUAACCGAACCCGAUCCGAACCGAAUUAAACCCAAUUUUUUUAUCCGAUCCGAUUCUAUUCGGAUCGGAUCAGGUCGGGUUGUCAAUUUGGGUUGAAUUCAUAUGAGUUUUUGUUCGACCCGAUCAACCCGAAAUCCGAUCGGGUUGAUCCGAACUCGAUUUUGCCCAGCCCUAAUGCAUGCCACAGACUUUUAUUUACCCUAGUUUGCAGUAUAAAAGGAGGGCGCGCACUACAUAAAAGACGGCAAUGAAUUAACAUUGGAGAAAUCGAGAGAAAAAGAAGAAAACAAUCAGAAUUCAAGAGAACCGAGUCUGCAUCAGUGAAGAAUCCAGCAGAGUUAUUUGGAUUCAAUCUUCAUCGUUCUCUACUUAUUCUUUUCUUUACUCUUUGAUUGAACCGAUGUCUUUCGUGACCAAUAUUUUGCUGUUUGUUUUUCUCAUUUAGAAUAUGAACUAGAUUUGCUUGUAGUUGAGUGACAAACAAUCUAAUGGGUUCUUGACUAUUCUUAUGUGUUGUUAUGUCAUUGUUGUAGCAUUUUAUUCUAGUAGUUAUUAUUAAUAUAACUGUUAUUUCGGUUGACCACCCAUUUAAUAGUUCAAGUUAAGAUAGAGCCGCAAAAGGGCAUGUCUUAGGGGAUAUUAUUAGAGUAUUACUUGAUUUUAAUUUAAGUUUCCUGGAUUAAGUUAUCUUGAAUCCCAUAAGGGCUAUACAUGAAGUUAAGAUUUGUGACACACUAGACAUAGGUGCUCACCUUGUAGGGUGGAGAGACUAAAGGGUCAUAAGGUCAUAUCAUAAGUAGAUUAGUAACUGGUCAUUGUUAAUAUAUUUAAGGGUGUGAGAGUUCCAAUACGCGACAGCUGAGGAUGCAGAUUAAUUAUGCCCAGUGCUGCAGCACUUGCCGUAACAAUUGGUGUUAACUUGAUGAAAAACAGUCAGCCUAUAAGGAGAGUUUGAUCAUUCAACUACCAUAGUCUCAAUUGAAUCUUAGACAUAUUUAAUUUAGUUUAUUUCAUUACAAUAUUGUUUUACUUUAUUCUCUCACAAUCAUCAAUUACGAUAGAACCCACUUUACGUUUAUUAACUUCGAACUUAAGUUAGUUUGCACUAUUGUGAUUGCUAUAGCAUUUUGAGUAACAUCAAUCCUUGUGGAGACGAUUUUGAAUAUUCAUCACUUUAUUACUUAUUGUGUAUACUUGCACAUUGGCAUUAGUAGCAUUUGAUUAUAAAAAUUACUAACAUGCGGCGAUGUGGCCUUGUACAAUUUUGUAAGAGUAUCUCAUAUUUCUUUUGCCGUCUUUUUCUCCUACACACUGGAUAACACCCCAUCUGCAAGUGCCAGGUGUAGAUCAGCAAUGGCAUUGCCGUCCAUCUCAUUCCACUUGUCAUCCUCAGUUAUCUCUAUGAGUCUUUCUCUAAUUAUUGCCAAGCAAUUAUUUUUCCUCAAAAUUGCCUGCAUUUUCAUUUUCCAUAAGGAGAAAUUAUUCUCAUCGAACUUUUCAAUUUUAUAUUUACUGCCAUUUUCUUACUAAAUACAGCACACAAGCUAGUGUACCACCCUGAAUAGUUAUGAGUAUGUGUGAAAAUGCACACCAGAAAAGUUCUCAAGAAAGACUGGAGUGGUCACAAUGGUCCCACUUAAAACCCAUACUCCUUAGACUCUUAUCGCCUUUGUGACAAAACUUUUCUAGACUUGUACAAAACCAUACAGUUGCUCUACUUACACCACUAUUCCUUGUUUUGCACUGCCAAAAUUAUUGGAUCGCUUCCAUCGUUUCUCAUUAAUAGUAUCAUAUAUAUAAAUAGUACCAUAUACAUGAAUAGCACCGUAUACGUGAACAAUACCCUUUACGUGAACAGUACCCCGACUCUAAAAAAUACAACCAAUAGCUCUGAAACCACUGUUGGGAAGUUUAUGGGUGAAGCAAAUACGCAACUAAAGUGAAAUUGAGAAAUAAUGAAACACAAAAUCGCACAAGGAUACCAGAAAUUACGUAGUUCGGCUUUUAAUCUACGUCAACGGGCGAAGACAGAAGGAAAAUAUUUUACUAGUGAAAAGGAGUUACAAGUACUGUAGUAUUUUAGAUCAUUUCUCAAAACCCUAAUACACCCAAACCUAAAAUCACUAAACUCUUUUCAAAAUGGAUAUGAAGAGGAAGAGAAAAACUUGAUGUUUAGGACGGAAAAGAAGCCCUCUAUUUAUAACUUCAUUUCUUAUCCUCUUUUCAAUUAAAAUAAUUAUAUUAUUAUUAUAUUUUUUUUCUUCGCCCUGAGCGGUGCGACACCUCUUUUUUUUCCUUUCCAUUUUUUUUUCUUUUAUUCCAAGAAGCAACGCCUCCUUCCUCAAAAUGGACGGGCCCACCUUCUAGAAUGGUCGUGCCCGCAUGCCAUUUUUUGUCAAUUAUUUGAUUUUUUUUAUUUCUUCGGUUCUUAUCGGUUGAACUAAUUUACAUGAUGAGUAGUGCAAUGUGUCCAUAUAUUACAUAUGAGUGGUAAUUUAUCACAAAUACAGUGACAUUUCAUCCAGGAGUGGCUGUCCUUGUUGAUAAAUUGAAAUUAGCGCAAACCUUGAGGACAGACAUGAAAAAAUGAGAACACGAGCAUGAUUGGUGAUGAGAUAUAAUAUAGCUGAACCCCUGCCUUGACUGAUUCAAUACAAAGGGAGGAAAAAAGAAGGAAAACAGGAGCAAGCAAAUAAGAAAGAAGCAAAUUAUAAUCAUGGCUUCUACAGCUGAUCAGGAAGAAGAGACAAAUAAUUUUUCAUAUGCAAUGGAACUGGCAAGUGCCAUAGUGCUACCUGCAGCUAUGCAAGCAGCGGUAGAGCUUGAUGUGUUUGAGAUCAUAAGCAAAGCUGGUCCCGGUGCUAAGCUUUCGGUUUCGGAAAUUGUGGCUCAAAUUCCCUUAAAAGGUAAUAAUCCUGAAACUGCAGCCAUGACGUUGGAGCGGGUGCUGAGGCUGCUUGUCAGCUACAAUGCUCUUCAUUGCUCUUUUGUUGAUGGACAAAGGCUCUACUCUCUUGCUCCUGUUUCUGCAUACUUCGUUCGCAAUAAUCAAAACGGCGCGUCGUUGCGUCCCUACAUGGCCUGGUGUCUUGACAAGGUCCUCAUGGAUGGCUGGUAUAUAGAAUUACUUUUUCUCUUUUCUUUUCUUUGCUAAUUUUAGUAAAUUAAGGAAAAUUAUCAAAACCUUCUAGUUGUAUAUAUCCAAAAAUUAAUCAUUUGUAUCACAUGUUUUGAACCCAUCAAAAUCCGUCAGCUGCUAAAAAGACAGCUAUCUUCAAUUAUUUUAUUUUGUUGUGGUAAAAAACAAAAAAAAAAGCUUAAAGUCCAAGCGUUUUUGAAAUAUGAAAGUAGAAAGGAUUGAUUGUAACAAACAAUUAAUAAAGUAUUCUUUAUCUUGGUUAAUUAUGCGGUCUAAUUUUACAAACUAAGCUUCUAAAAUUGUUACUAACUGUGUUUGGAUUUUGGAAAAUUCAGGUUUCGGUUGAAAGAGCAAAUUCUUGAAGGAGGAAUGGCGUUUAAUAAAGUGCACGGAAUGGAUAUGUACGAUUACAUGGGCGUUGACUCAAGAUUCAAUGAUGUUUUCAACAAUGGAAUGUCAAGCCACACUUCUGUCGUCAUGGAGAAGGUCCUAGAAUCAUACAAAGGCUUUGAGCAUGUUAAGAAGCUUGUUGAUGUUGGCGGCGGCUUAGGAGCUACUCUUAACAUGAUAAUUUCUAAAUACCCUCAUAUUAAGGGUAUUAAUUAUGAUUUACCUUAUGUUAUUAAAAAUGCCCCAUCUUAUCCUGGUAUGUUACUUACAAAAUUUAUAAAGUAUUUUUGUUAAUGAUUCAUUGAGAUACACGAUAGCUAACAAUUUUUUUUUUUUUUUUUUUAAUUUCAGGCAUUGAACAUGUAGGUGGAGACUUGUUUGAAAGUGUUCCUGAGGCAGAUACCAUUUUCAUGAAGGUUAUAUGUGUGUGUUAUUUGAAAUCAUCGUUAUAAGGAAAAAUCAAAAAUUGAUAUAGGGUGAAUCACACUUUUUCCCCUAAUAUUUUGUGGGUUGACUUUGGCCCGUUACUCAUUUGGUAUUAAAAUUUUCACAAAACCCCUUAAAGGAAUUCCCAAAUAUUAUGAAAACAGUAAAAAAAAAAAGGGGGGGGGGGGGGGGUGUAAAACUGUCUCUCUCUUUCUUUUUCUCUAGUUGUAAAGGGGUGGCCAAAGCCCAAGUUGAUUAUUUAAAAACCACUGGACUAGCUCCUGAUGCAAAGUGUCAAUCUUUCUGGAUUAUAUACCUACGUUUUGUUCAAUAAUAUAAAUUGAUCAUAGAUAUUCAGAUUAAUAGAUCUAAUGAGAAUUAACAUGAAUAUUAAACUUUUGCAGUGGGUCCUUAAUGGUUUUGAUGAUGAGCAGUCCUUGAAAUUGUUGAAAAAUUGUUACAAAGCUCUUCCGGAUGGUGGGAAGUUGCUUAAUGUUAAUGCAGCAUUUCCAGAAGUGCCUGAGAAUAGCGCGACUUCAAGGGAGAUCUCCCUCUUGGAUACAAUUUGUUUAAUCCAAGUUCCUCAUGGAAGAGAGCGGACCAAACAAGAAUACAGUGACUUAGCAAUCAAAGCUGGAUUUAAAGGCGUCAACUACGAAUAUGGUGCAUGCAAUUUAUAUGUUAUGGAAUUCCUCAAAUAAUAAAUUGCUUUACUUGUACUAGGAAAGGUCUUCUCAACUCUCUUUGGGGAGUUACAAUUUCUGGUUUGUGUUAAUUUUUCUCUUAUGUACUCUUUUUCAUCCUAUAAGCAUCUGUCUCUUUAAGGGAGAUUGACUGCCUUGUAAGGUAGCUCUUAUGUAAUAUUUUCCAUUUUUAUUUUUACUGUUGCAGCAUGUGAUACCUUUUUUUUAUCGAGGAAAAAAAUAGUGUAUUCAUCUUACAUUGUUAUUUUUUUCUUUUUUAAGUUAUUGCAAAGUUAUGUUGUGCAAAAAUCAGCAAUAUAUAAUUAAUAAUUUAAUGUAAUAAAGUUUGAUUUUUGAACGUAGUAAAAUAUACAGUAACUGAAUCGAAUAAAAUCUGAAAAAAUAUUGAAAAUGGAUUAUAGAGAUAUUAAUUUUUCAUUAAACAACUACUGAGAGCUAAUGAUGUAGGGCGUUAUUUUAAAAAUUUUAAGAUUUUAGAAUUUAUUAUUUUAGAACUUUAUAUUUUAAUUAGAGUAAUUUUGGUAUUUUAUUAAUUUACUACUUUCUAUUUUCAUUAGAGUCAAUUAAGUUAUGAGAUUUAGUUAACUUAGGAAAAUACCUUUUUAUUUCCAUUAUAAUUAUGAUUUAGUUUCCUAUUUUUAAGUUAACUUAGGGAAAAUAUAUUUUAUUUUUAUUAUAAUUAUGAUUUAUUUUUUCUUUUUGAGUUAGCUUAAAAGAGUGAGUUUCUCUAUUAUAAAUAGAGAGAUCUUAUCAUUAUUCUAUAAACUUUUAUUCCAAAAUUUAUUUACUCUAUCCUCUUUACAAUUCCUCUUCGUCAACUAAUAUAGAUCAAAGGGGUUAAAAAAAAAAGGUAGAAGUCUUUCGAAACAAGUGACAGAUGACAACACAAUCAGAAUAGAAGUAAAUAACAUAAGUUAGCACUGGCAAAAGGAUUUCCAGCGUUUCGUCUAAGGCACAAUAGACCCAACGGUUGAUAGAACAAAACAAAUAGUUGAUUUUUGUAAUUAUUGUGAAUAUAGUCUUUUGUUUUACAACGCAUUAAAUAUGUUUAUAUAUUUUUUGUAAAAGUCAAGCAAUGAGAUGUAGAGAACGAUUAUUGUUUUCACCAUAUCGAGUACCUCAAAGAUUAUCUCAAAUAUUUUUCAUGUUCUGUCUGCCUUCUAGAGGUGCACAGUGAUGGGUGAAAAGAGGAAAAUGAAAAAAGAUUUAAAAAAAAAUUAUAACUUCCUUUAAUGCGGGGUCGUUUUGGUUCGAUGUGUGUUGAAAAUUUUUUCGGGUGCUAGCUGUCGCUAUCUCCGACUUCAAAAAUCUUGUCUUAAAAUAUUAAUAUAGGCCCCAAGCCUAGGGAUGGCAAUGGGCACCGUCCGCAGCGGGUUUGCCAUUACUAAACCCAAACCCGCACAAAAUUUAAAUUACCAAACCCACCAGCAACCCGCAACGGAUUUUAAUUUUUUUUUAAAAACCCACCCGCAGCGGGUUUUAACAAUUACCAAACCCGCAAUGGUACCCGACGGAUUUUUUGCGGGUUUCCGUAUUUAAAAUCACAAAUGUUUAAUAUAUAAAUUUAUAAUAAUAACCUCAAAUUCCAUAUAACACACUCAAUUUUAUAUUUAAACAAUGUAAAUGAAAAAUUAAAAUUUCCACAUUAAUCCAACACAAAUUCUUAAAUUUAAGUAUAAAUUACACAAAUUCAUUUAAAAAACACAAACUAGUAUCUAAAAAUAAUAAUUACAUUUCAUAUUAUCAUUUAAAACAAGCUCCAAGAGAAGAUAUUCAUUUCAUUCACUACUAUAAGCACCCAUCCAACACAAUGCCUAUAAUAAUAAUUAAGAUUAAUAUUUUUAAAUACUAAUUCGAAGGAAAAUGCCUUUAGUUUUCUUUAGGUUAUGACUUUAGAAUGAGAGAUGGGCCACAUACACGCAUACACAACUUUGAACAUUUGGCUAUUUGGUAAUUUGAAUAAUGACAUUAUUUUCUUUAUAUAUUUUUAGAUUAAAAUUAAAUUAAAAAUAUUUGGAAAAAAUAUUACGGGUUUGGUGGAUAUCCAUGCGGGUAUCCACCGGAUAUAAGGUUAAUACCAAACCCACCCGCAUCCAUGUGCGGGUUUUAGUUUAUAAUACUAAACCCGCCCGCAACGGAUAAAAUUACCCGCAGCGGGCGGGUUUUGGCGGGUGGGUUUGGACGGAUUUACGGGUUUGCGGGUAUAAUUGCCAUCCCUACCCAAGCCCCCAUCCACUUUGCCUCUGUGAUUAAGAACCUCAUUCUUUGUCUUUUAGCUAACCCACCGCUGCUUUAUAAGUCGAUAAUUUUGUUUUUUGUUUUUCUUUUUUGUGUCAACUCAAUUGAAAGCUCUGCCCACUUGUAGAAAAAUCCCAUAAUGGGUUCCACUAGGUUACAGCAGUGGCACGUAUAAUUUCUUUUUGUCUUCUGUGACAUAUUUUCAUGUAACCCCUCUUAUUUAUUUUUAUUUAAUAUUUAUUCCAUAAGUAUUAAGUUAAUUUCUACCUACACUUACAGCUACAUUUCGGUUAGCUCUUUAUACUAUUUUAUAUUUACAGAUAUUUUGUUCAAUGUUGCACAUGUAUCACAAUGCCCCCUCUUUAUUAUUUUGAAGUUAAAUCAUUGACAUGUUUAAUUUAAAACCUUACACUCCUUUUUAAUCAUAAUCUUUUUAAAUAUUAGGGUUUUUUUUUUACAUUUACUACCAAAUUUCAUUUAACACCUUACAUUCUUUUUAUUUCGAUUUUUUUUUAUAAAUAUUAUGAUAAUUUUUUCUUGUAUUCAUAACAAAUUAUAUCAUCUCAAUAGUUCUAUUACAAAAAGUAUUAUAGUUUUUCACACUCUUAUUUUUAUUAUGUUAUUUAAUUCAAGUAUUUUUAUAUUAUGGGUGCAUUUAUAAGUUAUAACUACUUUUUCCUUUAUUUUCAUCAUUAGACUUAUAACUGUUUUUUGCUAUAUUCAACCUCUAGACUUGUGAUUUUGUUAGUAAUCAUGUGUUGUUUACUGUUAUAUUUUUUAUUAGACCAAUAAUAUUUUCUAGGUUUUGUAUGGUUUAUCAUGUAAUUUUACAUGUAACCAUAUACUUGUUUUACCUUGGUCUGGAUUUGGGGAUUUUGCAAUAUUUAUGGACACAUGGUGCAUUGUAAGUGGCUAUAGAUUUUAGCACUUACAAGAUAUAUUAACUAAUAUUAUUUAAACUUAUUAAUAAAAGAAAUUUAAGUAAUUAAUAGAUAUAAUUAUUAUUAUUAGAAAAUUUUAAUUUAUUAUAAUUUAAUUUGAUCAUCAACUACUGUAUCAAUUUGGCAACCGUAUUAAGCAAACAAUGAGGCAAAUCUUAGUGUUACUUUAUUAUAAUUGUUAAUGUUAACUACAAUUUUAUGUGAACCUGAGUAGCUAGAAAAUAUAAAUAUGAAUUAGUUUGUAAUAGAACUAUUAGGAUUACAUAAUUUGCUAAGCAUGUAAGUAAAAAGUACUAUAAUAUUUAUUAAAAAAUUUGUAAUAUAAAGAGUGUAUAGUAUUAAAUGAAAUUUUAUAGUGGAUUUAAAAAAAUCCUAAUACUUAAAAAAAAAAAGAGUUUAAGGUUCUAAAGUAAACAUGUCAAUUAUUUAAUAUCAAAACAGUAAAGAAGGGGUAUUGUUAUACAUGUGUAAUAUAGAAUAAAAAUUUAUAAAUAUUAAAUAUGUAAGGUGCUAAUUGAAAUGUGUCUAUGGAUGCAGGUAGAAAUUAACUUCGUAUUUAUGAAGUAAAUGUUAAAUAAAAAUGAGUGGAAGGGGUCAUAUGAAAUAUUACAGUGUACCGCCACAAAAGACAAAAUAAGUUCCACGGUACUCCUUAUGUAACAUAGCUGAACCCUACUUUUAAAAAGUAUUAAAAAUUGUAACUAAUUUUAGUUUACGCCAGCUGGAAUUUGUAGAAGCGAAUUCCAAUCAUGCCUGGUGUGCAAUUAAUAACAUGUGGGCGAAGACAAUUUGGGAGCUUGGAACUCUCCAAACUCCAAUGAGAUAAUAAAAUAUGUUAGUUAAUCAGGCUUUUUAAAUUUGAAUAGCAACAUCAAGUAUGUACAAAUGAAAGAAAUUUGCUGAGGGGGCUCCAGUAAGACGGAUGUGAUAGCUAAGUCCUCAUAAUUCAAUUAAAAAUUUCUAAUUUUACUGAAAUGAAUCAAUUAGUUGUUUAAAUAACAUGGAGUUUUAUAAUUGGGAUAAAUUAAUGAUACUAGUAAGCAUCUUUUGGUGAGAUGUCAUUUUUGAAAUUGCUCAAUCAUUAAUUCGGACAUCAUUGAUGGGGCUUGAGAAUGAGAUUUUAGCCUCUCUUAAAAAUUAUAUAUCACCACUUGAGUUAUUAAUAAAUUUUUUAUAACUCAUUUAAUUUUUUAUAUAAAAAUAAUACAAUAUUUAAAAAAAAAACAUAAUUGAAGUGUUAAUGUAAAUUCUUGACAAACAAAACAAUCUAGUUUUAAUUUGUGGAUAGGGUUUUCAUAUUCAGUUGCGGACCUAAAAAUUUUUUAAAACCCUUUGAGUUUUUUUUUUGUUUUUUAAAUUUUCCUAUAAUAAUAUAUAUAUUUUUUUAUUUUUUUAUAUAUGUCCCCAAUUUAAUUUUUUUUAAGAUUAGUGUUAGAGACUUAUUUUAUAAAUAAUUAAAUUAUUUGUCUUGAAUGAAUUGAAAGGUUAAAAUAUCAUUACCACUUUAACUUACAAAAAUGGUUAUUAUUUGGUCUAAUUGAAAGAAAAAUAUGCAUUAAAAAAUUGCCACUGUUUUUGAAAACUUAGAAAAUGUCAUAUAUUAACAACUAGCAAUAUUUUCAUAAUUUCAUGGUUUAUUUCCUUCACAAUCAUACCUUCGCUUUUUCUUUUCAUUAGAUCAAAUUAUUUAAAUAUGUUACCUUCUCUAUUAAAUGAUUAACAAUGAAUUUCAUAAAUAUUUUUAUAGCACAAUUUUAGUAAUUUAUAAUAUAAGCUUAUUUGUUGUACUGUUGCUGUUUAUUUCAUCAAGUAUAUGUAUUUUAUUAAGAUUUUUAAUGUUGUGUUACUUUGCAUAGCUCGUUAUAUGAAUUUUUUCACUCUUCUUCAUGUACUAACUGUUAUACAAAUUUUAAUGUACUCGCAAGUAUACAAGUCUACUGAGCAUAUCGNNNNNNNNNNNNNNNNNNNNNNNNNNNNNNNNNNNNNNNNNNNNNNNNNNNNNNNNNNNNNNNNNNNNNNNNNNNNNNNNNNNNNNNNNNNNNNNNNNNNNNNNNNNNNNNNNNNNNNNNNNNNNNNNNNNNNNNNNNNNNNNNNNNNNNNNNNNNNNNNNNNNNNNNNNNNNNNNNNNNNNNNNNNNNNNNNNNNNNNNNNNNNNNNNNNNNNNNNNNNNNNNNNNNNNNNNNNNNNNNNNNNNNNNNNNNNNNNNNNNNNNNNNNNNNNNNNNNNNNNNNNNNNNNNNNNNNNNNNNNNNNNNNNNNNNNNNNNNNNNNNNNNNNNNNNNNNNNNNNNNNNNNNNNNNNNNNNNNNNNNNNNNNNNNNNNNNNNNNNNNNNNNNNNNNNNNNNNNNNNNNNNNNNNNNNNNNNNNNNNNNNNNNNNNNNNNNNNNNNNNNNNNNNNNNNNNNNNNNNNNNNNNNNNNNNNNNNNNNNNNNNNNNNNNNNNNNNNNNNNNNNNNNNNNNNNNNNNNNNNNNNNNNNNNNNNNNNNNNNNNNNNNNNNNNNNNNNNNNNNNNNNNNNNNNNNNNNNNNNNNNNNNNNNNNNNNNNNNNNNNNNNNNNNNNNNNNNNNNNNNNNNNNNNNNNNNNNNNNNNNNNNNNNNNNNNNNNNNNNNNNNNNNNNNNNNNNNNNNNNNNNNNNNNNNNNNNNNNNNNNNNNNNNNNNNNNNNNNNNNNNNNNNNNNNNNNNNNNNNNNNNNNNNNNNNNNNNNNNNNNNNNNNNNNNNNNNNNNNNNNNNNNNNNNNNNNNNNNNNNNNNNNNNNNNNNNNNNNNNNNNNNNNNNNNNNNNNNNNNNNNNNNNNNNNNNNNNNNNNNNNNNNNNNNNNNNNNNNNNNNNNNNNNNNNNNNNNNNNNNNNNNNNNNNNNNNNNNNNNNNNNNNNNNNNNNNNNNNNNNNNNNNNNNNNNNNNNNNNNNNNNNNNNNNNNNNNNNNNNNNNNNNNNNNNNNNNNNNNNNNNNNNNNNNNNNNNNNNNNNNNNNNNNNNNNNNNNNNNNNNNNNNNNNNNNNNNNNNNNNNNNNNNAUAUCUAUUUAUAGAUAUAACAAUUAACUUCAAAUAAAAAUUAAUCUUAUAUAAAUUCUUUUAUGCCGCUUAAUAGUGUAGUAUCUAAGCAUCCCAUGUAAAUAAUAUGGAAUAACAAAGAUCAAAAAUUUUUCUAAGCAUUAUGUAUAAAUAAUUUAAUAAAAUAAAAAAAUAAUCACAUGAACCUUAGAGACCUAAGCAUAGGUUUAGUCAAAUAUUAAUUUUAACAAUAAAUAAUGUAUGACAGAAUUGUAAGAAAAAAUAACACAGUGAGAUAACAAUUUAAACAGUAGUUAAUUUAAACAACAAUGUAAACCAACAAUCGAAAACAACAAAUGAAGAAUAGAAGAGUAACCGAAACAGAAUUCAAUAUAUGCAAUUAAAUAGUUAAUCUUACUCAUGCAUGGUUAAGUGUUAAUAUAUAAACACUAAUCCCUAGGCUUAUUUUUCCCAUGUGGGAUAAGCCUCAUUUCCUUUCAAAUUUCCAACUUCAAGGGUGAACUUUGAGAGACAAUUUCUCAUUCACCCAAGCACCAUUUUGAGAAAAUAAGAUUAUACUUUUAAAGAAUCAACGGAGUAGAAUCCAAACCUCAUAAGAUUUUCCACUUUCAUUAAGUGGGACCCACUCAAAAUGUGCCCUCAAAAUAACAUAUAUACAUGCUAUUUUUUCAACAAGAAUUAGUGAAAAGAUUUAAUAAUAUCUAACUAAACAUAUAAAACAAGAACCAUAGGUAUUAAAGCUCAUAUAUAGAGAAUUAAUUAAAAAAGUAAUUUAUUUUAUUGAGCAGUUAUCAUCACUGACCAUAGUAUAAACACCAGAAAUAAUGCAUGACAGAAUUCCCCUAAAAAUAUCCGAUGGAUUCAUUCUUCAAAGAGUGUGGUCAUUGCUAAAUGUACAAGAUGAUAGUUGGUAGUUGUUGUCUAGUAAUAUGUAGAUCCCAAAUUGAAAUUGAUUUAAAAUCUAGGAGGGAUUAUCGCUCCUGCAAAUGUUUUAUUUUAAAAUUUAUCUAUUUAAUCCAAUGACAAAUAAGUUUUUCUCCCAUCCGUUUUAACAGUUCGAACAAAUAUUUUGUUUUCAGUUCAAGAAAUUUUAUCAAUUACGUUAAUAAUUAGUCCUAACAUGAUUAUUUGAUUUUUUUUUAUUUCUUCAGUUCGUAUUGUUUGAACUAGUUUACAUGACGAGUAGUGCAAUGGGUCCAUAUAUUAUAUAUGAAUGGGAAUUUAUCACUAAUAUAUUAUAUAUGUGUCCAUAUAUUAUACUAUUCGUGGUCAAUAGCUGUAGCCAGGAGUGGCUCUCCUUGUUGAUAAACUGAAAUUAGCGCAAACCUUGAGGACAGGCAUGAAAAAAUGGGAACACGAGCAUGAUUUGUGAUGAGAUAUAAUAUAGUUGAACCCAUGCCUUGACUGAUUCAAUAGAAAGGAGGGAAAAAAGAAGGAAAACAGGGGCAAGCAAUAAAGAAGAAGCAAAUUAUAAUCAUGGCUUCUAUAGCUGAUCGGGAAGAAGAGACAAAUAAUUUUUCAUAUGCAAUGGAACUGGCAAGUGCCAUAGUGCUACCUGCAGCUAUGCAAGCAGUGGUAGAGCUUGAUGUGUUUGAGAUCAUAAGCAAAGCCGGUCCUGGUGCUAAGCUUUCGGUUUCGGAAAUUGUGGCUCAAAUUCCCUUAAAAGAUAAUAAUCCUGAAGCUGCAGCCAUGAUGUUAGAUCGGGUGCUGAGGCUUACGUUAUUGACUUAAUUAACGAAUAGACCCUAGUGAAUAGGAAUAUCAAUUAAUUACAAAUGAAAAAAAUUUGCUGAGGAGUCCGAAUUUGAUGUACAUGAUAGCGAAGUCCACAUAACUCAAUUAAUUGUUUAAGUAACUGGGAGUUUUAUAAUUGGGAUAACGUGUAGUUUGAUAUUGUAAGUUACAAUCGUAAAAUAUUUAAUAAAUUUUUGAUGUUGUAAUUUAAACGUUAAGUUGAAUUUAUCACAUACUUAUAUGUAAAAAAAAACCUAUAAUAUAUUUUUGUCUUUUUUGUUAAAAUUAUUUGUUACAUAUUUUUUACUUUUAUUUCAUUUAUAUAUGUGUGUGUGUGUCAAAACACCUCAAUCUGAAACAUGGUCUUAAUUAAUAAAACAUUGUCAUUUUAUUAAUUAAUAAAACACCUCAAUACCUAGCAAGUAGCAAGCCACACAUGAUUUUAUUUUGUAUAUAAAAAUUUGACACUCUUUAAUAUUGUGUUUUUUCGUUUAUGUUUAUUAUGAGCUCGACUUUUUGUUUAUGAAAAUUUGACAUUCUGUAACUUUGGCGGGUUGGUAAGUGUAUAAUGAGCUACACUUAUUUAUUUAUUUGGAAAAAAGACACCUAUUUACAUUUGAGAAAAUAGUCAUAAAGACAUCUAAAUUUUUAAAAAGGGACUCCAAAUCUCCUUUUUAACUAUAAUAUCCUUUGAUUUAGUAAUUAAAAAGUUGACUUAAAUUUUUUUUAAUUAAUACAAAUUUAAUAUAAGUAAUAUAAUCUAUCUAGUACACUAAUAAUAUUAAAUUAUUUUUAACGUUUAAUAUAAUAUUAAAAAUUUAAAUUAUUACAUUUAUUUUAAUAAUACAUUUGCAUUUAUUAUAUAGAUUUUAAAAAUCUCUGUAUUAAAUAUAUUUUGCAAUUAACAGAAUAUAUCCCUAUUAAUAAUAUUAAUAUUAUUUUUUACAUAAUAUUUGAAAUAAUUUUAAUCUUUUAUUCUAAUAUUAUGUUUCUAUAUAUUAUUAAAAAUUACUUUAAUUAUAAUAUAAUUGGUCUAAUAUAUUGUAAAAUAUAAAAAUAUUUUAUAAAUAUUAAAAAUAUUUUCAAAUGUUGAUAUUAUUACAUUUAUUUUAAUGGCAUAUUUCUAUUUAUUAUAAAAUCUUAAGGUCAAUUAUUUUGGUUUUAUAAAGUCAAAAGGUAUUAUGAUAAAAAAGGGUUCUUGGUGUCCGUUAUUGAAAACUCGGGGUCCUUGUAAUCAUUUUCCAAAACCGUGGGGGUGUAGGUGUCCUUUUCCCUAUUUAUUUUUAUAAAAAUUAAGGUUUUUUUUUUUUUUAAAGCAAGAAAUCUAAUGAAUUAAUUCUUCAAAGAGUGUGAGGAUCAAAAACUUACUCUAUGGUUAUUGCUAAAUAUGAAAUAAGAUAAUUGACAUAGUUGUUAUCUAGUAUUAUAUCGAUCCCAAAUUAAUAGGUUCAAACAAAUAUUUUGUUUCAGUUCAAGAAAUUUUACUAAUUAUAUAUGUUAAGAAUUACUAAUUUACAUGUUGUGUUAAGUUUUUGGACAGAGAAAACUAAGGUAGUAUAUGUUCUUUUAUCUAAAAUCUAGAUGGAUUUGAAUGUAAUUGAAGUCUGAAUGAAUCUGAAUGCAUAUGUCAGAAUAACAUGUUUGUUUUUUAUUUUUUGACAUCUAGUGUAACGGUAAAUUGUUAUCUAUUUUUAUAAACUCAAAAUAUUUUAAAUCCAAUAUUUUUAUACUUAUGAUCUUGAAAGUGUUAUAUAUACCUGAAAUUUUUAAUAGGUAUAUAUUUAUAAUGUUUUCUUAACUAAAUAAGUUCAUGCAAUUGAUUGUUAUUAUUAUUGAAUAACUGUUUUUAGGUUGCCUUUAUUAGUUUAACAACAAUGGUACUUCGUCAAGAGAAUGAGUUACCAUUAUUAUUAAUAGGUCGGCGGCGACCAUUUUUUUUUCAUUUUUAGCUCACUGAUAAUUGACAUGGAAUAACGAUGUUUUAGAUAUAUACGAUAUAUUUUAGAUAAUCACACGUAUUUGUAUAUUUUAAAAUACUUAUCAUAAUGUCAAAUAUUUUUAUAUUAUUAUAAAUUGUUGAAAAAUUAUUUUAGAACAAUAUAAAAAUAUCUGUAUACAUGGUAGUCAAACAACAAUUUGAGCAUUGCUAUUAUUUUCCGAAAAUGUAGCUAAGUUUUCUGAAUGAAGAGUGUCCCUUGGAUUCGGUUGGAUUUUAUGCCGCACGACAGAAUUGCUGUGGCCGGAGGGUAAUGUUGUCGCAGUGGGCAAACAAUAAUUGACAUUUCACAUUCGGCUAUUUAUGAUGUAGGCCCAACUAUGUGUGUCCAACUUUGGAGGCUAUUAGGUAUAUGAUAUAUCCAAUUAAUAAGCUCCGCUUAUUUAUUUAUUUUUAUAAAAAUUCAGAUUUUUUUCCCCUAAAAAUAUCCGAUCGAUUCAUUCUUCAAAGAGUGUGCUUACUGCUAAAUAUACAAGAUGAUAGUUGGCAGUUAUUGUCUAGUAAUAUGUAGAUCCCAGAUUGAAUUUGAUUUAAAAUCCAGGAGCAUCGUUCCCGCAAAUGUUUCAUUUUAAAUUUUCUUUGUUUAAUCCAAUGGCAAAUAAAUUUUUCUCGCAUCCGUAUUAAUGGUUCGAACAAAUAAUUUUGUUUUCAGUUCAAGAAAUUUUAUCAAUUUUGUUAAUAAUUAGUACUCACAUAAUUAUUUACUUAUUUUUUUUUAUUUCUUCAAUUCUUAUUGUUUGAAUUAGUUUACAUGAUGAGUAGUGCAAUGUGUCCAUAUAUUAUUUAUGAAUGGUAAUUUAUCACUAAUACAGUGACAUUUCAUCCCGGAGUGGCUGUCCUUGUUGAUAAAUUGAAAUUAGCGCAAACCUUGAGGACAGGCAUGAAAAAAUGAGAACACGAGCAUGAUUGGUGAUGAGAUAUAAUAUAGAUGAACCCCUGCCUUGACUGAUUCAAUACAAAGGGAGGAAAAAAGAAGGAAAACAGGAGCAACCAAUUAAGAAAGAAGCAAAUUUAUAAUCAUGGCUUCUACAGCAGAUCAUGAAGAAGAGACAAAUAAUUUUUCAUAUGCAAUGGAACUGGCAAGUGCCAUAGUGCUACCUGCAGCUAUGCAAGCAGCGGUAGAGCUUGAUGUGUUUGAGAUCAUAAGCAAAGCUGGUCCCGGUGCUAAGCUUUUGGUUUCGGAAAUUGUGGCUCAAAUUCCCUUAAAAGAUAAUAAUCCUGAAGCUGCAGCCAUGACGUUGGAUCGGGUGCUGAGGCUGCUUGUCAGCUACAAUGCUCUUCAUUGCUCUUUUGUUGAUGGACAAAGGCUCUACUCUCUUGCUCCUGUUUCAGCAUACUUUGUUCGCAAUAAUCAAAACGGCGCGUCGUUGCGUCCCUAUAUGGCCUGGUGUCUCGACAAGGUCCUCAUGGAUUGCUGGUAUAUAGAAUUACUUUAUCUCCUUUCUUUCCUUUGCUAAUUUUGAUAAAUUAAGGACAAUUAUCAAAACCUUCUAGUUGUAUAUAUCCAAAAAUUAAUCAUUUGCAUCACAUGUUUUGAACCCAUCAAAAUCCGUCAGCUACUAAAAAGACAGUUAUCUUCAAUUAUUUUACUUUUGUUGUGGUAAAAAACAAAAAAAGUUUAUAGUCCAAGUGUUUUUGAAAUAUGAAAGUAGAAAGGAUUGAUUGUAACAAAUAAUUAAUAAAGUAUUCUUUAUCUUGGUUAAUUAUGCCGUCUAAUUUUACAAACUAAGCUUCUAAAAUUGUUACUAACUGUGUUUGGAUUUUGGAAAAUUCAGGUUUCGGUUGAAAGAGCAAAUUCUUGAAGGAGGAAUUGCGUUUAAUAAAGUGCACGGAAUGCAUAAGUACGAUUACUUGGGCGUUGACUCAAGAUUCAAUGAUGCUUACAACAAUGGAAUGUUAAGCCACACUUCUGUUGUCAUGGAGAAGAUCCUAGAAUCAUACAAAGGCUUUGAGCAUGUUAAGCAGCUUGUUGAUGUUGGCGGCGGCUUAGGAGCUGCUCUUAACAUGAUAAUUUCCAAAUACCCUCAUAUUAAGGGUAUUAAUUAUGAUUUACCAUAUGUUAUUCAAAAUGCCCCAUUUUAUCCUGGUAUGUUACUUACAAAAUUUAUACAAUAUUUUCGUUAAUGAUUCAUUGAUGGGAUACACGAUAGCUAACAAAAAUUAUUAUUAUUAUUUUUAAAUUUCAGGCAUUGAACAUGUAGGUGGAGACUUGUUUGAAAGUGUUCCUGAGGCAGAUACCAUUUUCAUAAAGGUUAUAUGUGUGUAUUAUUUGAAAUCAUCGUUAUAAGGAAAAAUCGAUAUAGGGUGAAUCACUAUUUUCCCCCCUAAUAUUUUGUAGGUUUACUUUGACCCGUUACUCAUUUGGUAUUAGAACUUUGACAAAAACACUUAAGGAAAAGUCAAAAUAUGUUGAAAAGUGUUGGGGGGCAACUGUCUCUCUUUCUUUUUCUCUAGUUGUAAAGGAGUGGCCAAAGCCCAAAUUGAUUAUUUAAAAACCACUGGACUAGCUCCUGAUGCAAAGUGUCAAUCUUUCCGGAUUAUACGUUUUGUUCAAUGCCAUAAAUUGAUCAUAGAUAUUCAUAUUAAUAGAUCUAAUGAGAAUUAACGUAAAUAUUAAACUUUUGCAGUGGGUCCUUAAUGCUUUUGAUGAUGAGCAGUCCUUGAAAUUGUUGAAAAAUUGUUACAAAGCUCUUCCGGAUGGUGGGAAGUUGCUUAAUGUUAAUGGAACAAUUCCAGAAGUGCCUGAGAAUAGCGCGACUUCAAGGGAGAUCUCCCACUUGGAUAUAAUUUGUUUAAUCCAAGUUCCUCAUGGAAGAGAGCGGACCAAACAAGAAUACAGUGACUUAGCAAUCAAAGCUGGAUUUAAAGGCGUCAACUACGAAUAUGGUGCAUGCAAUUUAUAUGUUAUGGAAUUCCUCAAAUAAUAAAUUGCUUUACUUGUAUUAGGAAAGGUCUUCUCAACUCUCUUUGGGGAGUUACCAAUUUCUGGUUUGUGUUAAUUUUUCUUCUCGCCUUAGCUUUUCUCUUAUGUACUCUUUUUCAUCCUUUAAGCAUCUGUCUUUUUAAGGGAGAUUGACUGCCUUAUAAGGUAGCUCCUAUGUAAUAUUUUCCAUUUUAAUUUUUACUGUUGUAGCAUGUGAUACUUAGUUUUUUAUCGAGGAAAAAAAUAGUGUAUUCAUCUGACUUUGUUUUUUUUUUUUUUUUCCUUUUUCUACUUAUUGCAAAGUUAUGUUGUGCAAAAACCAGCAAUAUAUAAUUAAUAAUUUAAAGUAAUAAAGUUUGAUUUUUGAACGUAGUAAAAUACACCGUAACUGAAUCGAACAAUGCCUGAAAAAUAUAUUGAAAAUGGAUUAUAGAGAUAUAAAUUUCUAUUAUAAUUAUAAUUUAGUUUUUUAUUUUUAAGUUAACUUAGAGAAAAUAUAUUUUAUUUUCAUUAUAAUUGUGAUUUAAUUUUUCUUUUUGAAUUAAUUUAGAGAAGUAGGUUUCCUCUAUUAUAAAUAGAGAGCUCUUGUGGUUGUUUUAAGAACUUUUUUCUAUUAUAAAUAGAGAGUUUUUGUGAUUAUUUUAAGAACUUUUUCCAAACUCAAUUAUUCUAUAAAUUUUUAUUCUAAUUUUUUUUUUCUAUCUUCUUUACAAUUCCUCGUCGGCUAAUAUAGGUCAAAGGGGUUAAAAAAAAGUGCAAGCCUUUUGAAACAAGUCACAGAUGACAGACCCAAUCAGAACUAUAAGUAAAUAUAAUAGUUUGCACUGGCAAUAGGAUUUCCGGCAUUUCGUCUAAGGCACAAUUGACACAACGCUUGAUUGACCAAAACAAAUAGUUGAUUAUUGUAAUUAUUGUGAAUAUAGUCUUUUGUUUUACAACGCGUUAAAUAUGUUUAUAUAUUUUGUAAAAGUCAAGCAAUGAGAUGUAGGGAACGAUUAUUGUUUUCACCAUAUCAAUUAUCUCAAAGAUUAUCUCAAAUAUUUUUCAUGUUCUGUCUGCCGGUACUCUGCCUUCUAGAGGUGCACAGUGAUGGGUGAAAAGAGGAAAAUGAAAAAAAGAUAAGAAAAAAUUUAUAAGGUCCUUUAAUGCGGGGUCGUUUUGGUUCGAUAUGUGUUGAAAAUUUUUUCGGGUGCAAGCUGUCGCUAUCACCGACUUCAAAAACCUUGUCUUGUAAUAUUAAUAUAGGCCCCGAGCCCCCCACCACUUUGCCUCUGUGAUUAAGAACCCCAUUCUUUGUCUUUUAGCAAACCCCCCGCCGCUUUAUAAGUCAAUAAUUUUGUUUUUUUUUUUUUUUUUUUUUGUCAACUCAAUUGAAGGCUUUGCCCACUUGUAGAAAAUCCCAUAAUGGGUUCCACUAGGUUACAGCAGUGGCACAUAUAAUUUCUUUUUGUCUUCUGUGAUAAAAUUUCAUAUAAUCUCUUCUAUUUAUUUUUAUUUAAUAUUUAUCCUAUAAGUAUUAAGUUAAUUUCUACCUACACUUACAGCUACAUUUCGGUUAGCUCUUUAUACUAUUUUAUAUUUACAGAUUUUUUAUUCAAUAUUGCACAUGUAUCACAAUACCCCCUCUUUAUUAUUUUGAAGUUAAAUAAUUAACAUGUUUAAUUUAAAACCUUACACUCCUUUUUAAUUAUAAUCUUUUUAAAUAUCGGGUAUUUUUUACAUUUGCUAUCAAAUUUCAUUUAACACUUUACACUCUUUUUAUUUCGAAUUUUUUUAUAGAUAUUAAUUUACAUUAUGGUAGUGCACUGUGUCCAUAUAUUAUUUAUGAAUGGUAAUUUAUCACUAAUACAGUGACAUUUCAUCCAGGAGUGGCUCUCCUUGUUGAUAAAUUGAAAUUAGCGCAAACCUUGAGGACAGGCAUGAAAAAAUGAGAACACGAGCAUGAUUUGUGAUGAGAUUUAAUAUAGUUGAAUCCAUGCCUCGACUGAUUCAAUAGAAAGGAGGGAAAAAAGAAGGAAAACAGAAGCAAGCAAUUAAGAAAGAAGCAAAUUAUAAUCAUGGCUUCUAUAGCUGAUCAGGAAGAAGAGGCAAAUAAUUUUUCAUAUGCAAUGGAACUGGCAAGUGCCAUAGUGCUACCUGCAGCUAUGCAAGCAGUGGUAGAGCUUGAUGUGUUUGAGAUCAUAACCAAAGCUGGUCCCGGUGCUAAGCUUUCAGUUUCGGAAAUUGUGGCUCAAAUUCCCUUAAAAGAUAAUAAUCCUGAAGCUGCAGCCAU
rnacentral:lncRNA from 1 species